rnacentral:rRNA from 1 species
AUCUGUGUGACUGCGUACCUUUUGUAUAAUGGGUCAGCGACUUAUAUUCUGUAGCAAGGUUAACCGAAUAGGGGAGCCGAAGGGAAACCGAGUCUUAACGGGCGUUAAGUUGCAGGGUAUAGACCCGAAACCCGGUGAUCUAGCCAUGGGCAGGUUGAAGGUUGGGUAACACUAACUGGAGGACCGAACCGACUAAUGUUGAAAAAUUAGCGGAUGACUUGUGGCUGGGGGUGAAAGGCCAAUCAAACCGGGAGAUAGCUGGUUCUCCCCGAAAGCUAUUUAGGUAGCGCCUCGUGAAUUCAUCUCCGGGGGUAGAGCACUGUUUCGGCAAGGGGGUCAUCCCGACUUACCAACCCGAUGCAAACUGCGAAUACCGGAGAAUGUUAUCACGGGAGACACACGGCGGGUGCUAACGUCCGUCGUGAAGAGGGAAACAACCCAGACCGCCAGCUAAGGUCCCAAAGUCAUGGUUAAGUGGGAAACGAUGUGGGAAGGCCCAGACAGCCAGGAUGUUGGCUUAGAAGCAGCCAUCAUUUAAAGAAAGCGUAAUAGCUCACUGGUCGAGUCGGCCUGCGCGGAAGAUGUAACGGGGCUAAACCAUGCACCGAAGCUGCGGCAGCGACACUGUGUGUUGUUGGGUAGGGGAGCGUUCUGUAAGCCUGUGAAGGUGUCUGUGAGGAUGCUGGAGGUAUCAGAAGUGCGAAUGCUGACAUAAGUAACGAUAAAGCGGGUGAAAAGCCCGCUCGCCGGAAGACCAAGGGUUCCUGUCCAACGUUAAUCGGGGCAGGGUGAGUCGACCCCUAAGGCGAGGCCGAAAGGCGUAGUCGAUGGGAAACAGGUUAAUAUUCCUGUACUUGGUGUUACUGCGAAGGGGGGACGGAGAAGGCUAUGUUGGCCGGGCGACGGUUGUCCCGGUUUAAGCGUGUAGGCUGGUUUUCCAGGCAAAUCCGGAAAAUCAAGGCUGAGGCGUGAUGACGAGGCACUACGGUGCUGAAGCAACAAAUGCCCUGCUUCCAGGAAAAGCCUCUAAGCAUCAGGUAACAUCAAAUCGUACCCCAAACCGACACAGGUGGUCAGGUAGAGAAUACCAAGGCGCUUGAGAGAACUCGGGUGAAGGAACUAGGCAAAAUGGUGCCGUAACUUCGGGAGAAGGCACGCUGAUAUGUAGGUGAAGUCCCUCGCGGAUGGAGCUGAAAUCAGUCGAAGAUACCAGCUGGCUGCAACUGUUUAUUAAAAACACAGCACUGUGCAAACACGAAAGUGGACGUAUACGGUGUGACGCCUGCCCGGUGCCGGAAGGUUAAUUGAUGGGGUCAGCGCAAGCGAAGCUCUUGAUCGAAGCCCCGGUAAACGGCGGCCGUAACUAUAACGGUCCUAAGGUAGCGAAAUUCCUUGUCGGGUAAGUUCCGACCUGCACGAAUGGCGUAAUGAUGGCCAGGCUGUCUCCACCCGAGACUCAGUGAAAUUGAACUCGCUGUGAAGAUGCAGUGUACCCGCGGCAAGACGGAAAGACCCCGUGAACCUUUACUAUAGCUUGACACUGAACAUUGAGCCUUGAUGUGUAGGAUAGGUGGGAGGCUUUGAAGUGUGGACGCCAGUCUGCAUGGAGCCGACCUUGAAAUACCACCCUUUAAUGUUUGAUGUUCUAACGUGGACCCGUGAUCCGGGUUGCGGACAGUGUCUGGUGGGUAGUUUGACUGGGGCGGUCUCCUCCUAAAGAGUAACGGAGGAGCACGAAGGUUGGCUAAUCCUGGUCGGACAUCAGGAGGUUAGUGCAAUGGCAUAAGCCAGCUUGACUGCGAGCGUGACGGCGCGAGCAGGUGCGAAAGCAGGUCAUAGUGAUCCGGUGGUUCUGAAUGGAAGGGCCAUCGCUCAACGGAUAAAAGGUACUCCGGGGAUAACAGGCUGAUACCGCCCAAGAGUUCAUAUCGACGGCGGUGUUUGGCACCUCGAUGUCGGCUCAUCACAUCCUGGGGCUGAAGUAGGUCCCAAGGGUAUGGCUGUUCGCCAUUUAAAGUGGUACGCGAGCUGGGUUUAGAACGUCGUGAGACAGUUCGGUCCCUAUCUGCCGUGGGCGCUGGAGAACUGAGGGGGGCUGCUCCUAGUACGAGAGGACCGGAGUGGACGCAUCACUGGUGUUCGGGUUGUCAUGCCAAUGGCACUGCCCGGUAGCUAAAUGCGGAAGAGAUAAGUGCUGAAAGCAUCUAAGCACGAAACUUGCCCCGAGAUGAGUUCUCCCUGACCCUUUAAGGGUCCUGAAGGAACGUUGAAGACGACGACGUUGAUAGGCCGGGUGUGUAAGCGCAGCGAUGCGUUGAGCUAACCGGUACUAAUGAACCGUGAGGCUUAACCU